AGCUCCAAUAGCGUAUAUUAAAGUUGUUGCCGUUAAAAAGCUCGUAGUCGAACUUCGGCCUUUGCCGCCCGGUCCGCCCUAUGGGUGUGUACUGGAGCGGUGGAGGCUUACCUCGUGGUGAACGGCCAUGCUCUUUACUGGGUGUGGUCGGGAACCAUGAUUUUUACUUUGAAAAAAUUAGAGUGUUCAAAGCAGGCUUACGCCCGAAUACAUUAGCAUGGAAUAAUAAAAUAGGACGUGCGGUUCUAUUUUGUUGGUUUCUAGAAUCGCCGUAAUGAUUAAUAGGGAUAGUUGGGGGCAUUCGUAUUCAAUUGCUAGAGGUGAAAUUCUUGGAUUUAUUGAAGACGAACUACUGCGAAAGCAUUUGCCAAGGAUGUUUUUAUUGAUCAAGAACGAAAGU
rnacentral:rRNA from 1 species